rnacentral:lncRNA from 1 species
UUUGUGUCUACAGCGCAGUUAACAGCCCAUUUUCCCUUAAAUAUCUUAACUCAGCGGUAAAACAGGGAAAGCCAAAGGAAGAGCCCUUGGUCACAUCAGCAGAAACCUCCUCGUUUCAGUGCACCUACUCAGUGCCUUAGCCUCUGUGCACAGAAUCAAACCUGUGGAUGUGACGUUUGUCACCAGUGUGUCUCAUAUGCACCAAUUCCACAUCUAUCCAGUGUCUUGUCCUUGCUGGUGCUGGCCAUCCUGUGCCUGAUGUCUUCUAUCCCAUGAUGGCAACUGUGCCAUUGUUGAACUCUGUGGUUAGCCCACAUAUCUGUUUGCAGUUCACCUCACUUUUACUGGUUACCAGGUAGCCCAAGAUGUUUCCCAUCAAUUUUCCCUCUCUAGAGACUCCUUCUUCUAGGUCUAGAAAUACUACUUACUAACAUAAUCACCACGCUGGCCAAGCGAGGUUCCCAGGAGACAUUCUCGACAUUUGUGUUCUCUUCUCAUUGUGCAGUUAGUUUGGUCCGAUGCUAGAGGUUCGCCCACCUACUGCCAUAUAUACCCCCCUCAGGCUCUGAUUUAUACCUGCAUAGCUCUAACAGCCUCUGGCUACAGUCUUUGUUCUUGGUCCUGCUUCUUCUAGAUGCUGCAGACUGUGUUAUCAGAAAGC